rnacentral:rRNA from 1 species
AAAGUGGAGCAAUCCAUGAGUAAAGUGGCGUACGGGUGAGUAACACGUGGAUCAUCUACCUUUUAGUGGGGAAUACCCCCGGGAAACUGGGGACAAUACCGCAUAAGCUCGUAAGAGGAAAGCAGCAAUGCGCUGAAAGAGGAGUCCGCGGCUGAUUAGCUAGUUGGCGGGGUAACGGCCCACCAAGGCGAAGAUCGGUAGCCGGCCUGAGAGGGCACACGGCCACACUGGCACUGAAACACGGGCCAGACUCCUACGGGAGGCAGCAGUGGGGAAUCUUGCACAAUGGAGGAAACUCUGAUGCAGCGACGCCGCGUGAGCGAUGAAGCCCUUCGGGGUGUAAAGCUCUUUCGACGGGAACGAUAAUGACGGUACCCGAAGAAGAAGCUGCGGCUAACUACGUGCCAGCAGCCGCGGUAAUACGUAGGCAGCAAGCGUUGUUCGGAAUUACUGGGCGUAAAGAGUGUGUAGGCGGUGUUCUAAGUCUGUUGUGAAAUCUCCCGGCUUAACUGGGAGGGUGCGGCGGAGACUGGAAUGCUAGAGUAUGGGAGAGGUAAGCGGAAUUCCUGGUGUAGCGGUGAAAUGCGUAGAUAUCAGGAGGAACACCUGUGGUGUAGACAGCUUACUGGACCAUGACUGACGCUGAGACACGAAAGCGUGGGUAGCAAACAGGAUUAGAUACCCUGGUAGUCCACGCCCUAAACGAUGCAUACUUGGUGUGAGCCAUUCAUUUGGUUCGUGCCGGAGCUAACGCGUUAAGUAUGCCGCCUGGGGAGUACGGUCGCAAGGCUGAAACUC